AUUUAUAUAGUUUAUUAAAACAUUACAUUUUCAUUGUAAAAAUAAAAUAAAAAAUUUUUAUAAAUA
rnacentral:tRNA from 1 species